GUGGGGAAUUUUUCGCAAUGGGCGCAAGCCUGACGAAGCAACGCCGCGUGGAGGAUGAAGGCCUUCGGGUCGUAAACUCCUGUCGACCGGGACGAAAGCAGUCCGGAUCAAUACCCUGGGCUGUUGACUGUACCGGUGGAGGAAGCCACGGCUAACUCUGUGCCAGCAGCCGCGGUAAUACAGAGGUGGCAAGCGUUGUUCGGAAUUACUGGGCGUAAAGGGCGCGUAGGCGGUCCGGUAAGUCCUGUGUGAAAUCCCUCGGCUCAACUGAGGAACUGCACGGGAGACUGCCGGGCUUGAGUUCGGGAGAGGGAAGCGGAAUUCCGGGUGUAGCGGUGAAAUGCGUAGAUAUCCGGAGGAACACCGGUGGCGAAGGCGGCUUCCUGGACCGACACUGACGCUGAGGCGCGAAAGCUAGGGGAGCAAACGGGAUUAGAUACCCCUGUAGUCC
rnacentral:rRNA from 1 species